rnacentral:rRNA from 1 species
ACUUUAUAGCUUGCUAUGAUAGAAAUUAGUGGCAGACGGGUGAGUAAUGCAUAGGAAUCUACCUAGUAGUAUGGGAUAGCCACUAGAAAUGGUGGGUAAUACUUGUAUAAUCCCUGCGGGGGAAAGAUUUAUCGCUAUUAGAUGAGCCUAUGUUAGAUUAGCUAGUUGGUAGGGUAAAGGCCUACCAAGGCAGUGAUCUAUAGCUGGUCUGAGAGGAUGAUCAGCCACACUGGAACUGAGAUACGGUCCAGACUCCUACGGGAGGCAGCAGUGGGGAAUAUUGGACAAUGGGCGCAAGCCUGAUCCAGCUAUGCCGCGUGAGUGAGGAAGGCCUUAGGGUUGUAAAACUCUUUCAGUGGGGAAGAUAAUGACGGUACCCACAGAAGAAGUCCCGGCAAACUCCGUGCCAGCAGCCGCGGUAAUACGGAGGGGGCAAGCGUUGUUCGGAAUUAUUGGGCGUAAAGGGCAUGUAGGCGGUUCGGUAAGUUAAAGGUGAAAUGCCAGGGCUUAACCCUGGAGCA